rnacentral:rRNA from 1 species
GAUGAACGCUGGCGGCGUGCUUAAGACAUGCAAGUCGAACGGAGUGUGUAGCAAUACUCACUAAGUGGCGAAUGGGUGAGUAACACGUAGGUGACCUGCCCUGAAGUGCGGAAUAACAGUCCGAAAGGAUUGCUAAUACCGCAUGUGGUCCCGGGCGUUAGAGAACCGGGUCUAAAGCAGUAAUGCGCUUCAGGAGGGGCCUGCGGUCCAUCAGCUAGUUGGUAGGGAAUGGCCUACCAAGGCAACGACGGAUAGGGGACCGUGAGAGGGU